AUUGAGUUUGAUCCUGGCUCAGGACGAACGCUGGCGGCGUGCUUAACACAUGCAAGUCGAACGGAAAGGCCCUUCGGGGUGCUCGAGUGGCGAACGGGUGAGUAACACGUGGGCGAUCUGCCCUGCACUUUGGGAUAAGCCUGGGAAACUGGGUCUAAUACCGAAUACACCCUGCUGGUUGCAUGACCUGGUGGGGGAAAGCUUUUGCGGUGUGGGAUGGGCCCGCGGCCUAUCAGCUUGUUGGUGGGGUGAUGGCCUACCAAGGCGACGACGGGUAGCCGGCCUGAGAGGGUGACCGGCCACACUGGGACUGAGAUACGGCCCAGACUCCUACGGGAGGCAGCAGUGGGGAAUAUUGCACAAUGGGCGCAAGCCUGAUGCAGCGACGCCGCGUGGGGGAUGACGGCCUUCGGGUUGUAAACCUCUUUCAGUAGGGACGAAGCGCAAGUGACGGUACCUACAGAAGAAGGACCGGCCAACUACGUGCCAGCAGCCGCGGUAAAAU
rnacentral:rRNA from 1 species